GCUGGUUGGUGAGGUAACGGCCCACCAAGGCGACGAUCAGUAGCCGGCCUGGGAGGGUGAACGGCCACAUUGGGACUGAGACACGGCCCAAACUCCUACGGGAGGCAGCAGUGGGGAAUAUUGCACAAUGGGAGAAACCCUGAUGCAGCAACGCCGCGUGAGUGAAGAAGUAUUUCGGUAUGUAAAGCUCUAUCAGCAGGAAAGAAAAUGACGGUACCUGACUAAGAAGCCCCGGCUAACUACGUGCCAGCAGCCGCGGUAAUACGUGGGGGGCAAGCGUUAUCCGGAUUUACUGGGUGUAAAGGGAGCGUAGACGGUUUUGCAAGUCUGAAGUGAAAGCCCGGGGCUUAACCCCGGGACUGCUUUGGAAACUGUAGGACUAGAGUGCAGGAGAGGUAAGUGGAAUUCCUAGUGUAGCGGUGAAAUGCGUAGAUAUUAGGAGGAACACCAGUGGCGAAGGCGGCUUACUGGACUGUAACUGACGUUGAGGCUCGAAAGCGUGGGGAGCAAACAGGAUUAGAUACCCUGGUAGUCCACGCCGUAAACGAUGAUUACUAGGUGUUGGUGGGUAUGACCCAUCGGUGCCGCAGCAAACGCAAUAAGUAAUCCACCUGGGGAGUACGUUCGCAAGAAUGAAACUCAAAGGAAUUUACGGGGACCCGCACAAGCGGUGGAGCAUGUGGUUUAAUUCGAAGCAACGCGAAGAACCUUACCUGGUCUUGACAUCCCUAUGAAUAACGGGCAAUGCCGUUAGUACUUCGGUACAUAGGAGACAGGUGGUGCAUGGUUGUCGUCAGCUCGUGUCGUGAGAUGUUGGGUUAAGUCCCGCAACGAGCGCAACCCUUAUCUUUAGUAGCCAGCAGUAAGAUGGGCACUCUAGAGAGACUGCCGGGGAUAACCCGGAGGAAGGUGGGGAUGACGUCAAAUCAUCAUGCCCCUUAUGACCAGGGCUACACACGUGCUACAAUGGCGUAAACAAAGAGAAGCGAAGUCGUGAGGCAGAGCGAAUCUCAAAAAUAACGUCUCAGUUCGGAUUGUAGUCUGCAACUCGACUACAUGAAGCUGGAAUCGCUAGUAAUCGCAGAUCAGAAUGCUGCGGUGAAUACGUUCCCGGGUCUUGUACACACCGCCCGUCACACCAUGGGAGUCGGAAAUGCCCGAAGUCGGUGACCUAACCGAAAGGAGGGAGCCGCCGAAGGCAGGUCUGAUAACUGGGGUGAAGUCGUAACAAGGUAGCCGUACUAGUACGGGGUGCGG
rnacentral:rRNA from 1 species